UUUGACUCGAAAAUUCGGCCGAUCCGAGUUUGAAUCUGAAACAUUCGGAUCGAGUGCGGGGUUGGACCGGUCUAAUUGACACCUCUAUUUAGAAACUUCAAUCAAAACUAGGAAAUAAAACUUCAAGAAAAAGAAACUUCAAUCUAGAGUCCUUAACAUUUUAAAAAUACACAAAAAAUAACUCCCCAUGAUAACUAGGAAAUAAAACUUACUAGUGGAAGAAGUCUAAUAUCAAUACCGGCAGAAAAAAGAGUACAUAAAAUAAAAGAAAAUUGUUGUUUCAGCCCAAGCGCGACCCCUUGUGAAUAGAGUGAAAGCAUCACGGUGGACGCGAGGGGUAUUGCCAUAGCCAUAGCCAACGGUAUGGGCAGAGACUCAUGCGACGCUCCACCAACUGCUCCGACUCGAUCAUCAUUCUCCAAUCCUUUGAGACGGAUUUGAAUCUCACCAGCGAUUCCCAUUGAAGCUUCAUUAGUAUUUUCUGCAGGAGCUCGGGGGAAGAUGGGUUUCGGAAUUAGGGUUUCUCUCUUCCGACGCCAUUAUCUUUUGCAACAAGCUUUGAAGAAUCGAAUCAGGACCACGUGUGAAAAGACUGCAACAAACAGACAUGGGCAAAAAACAUAGGAAAUCAAGAGAAUGGGCAAGUCAUUGGAGAAAGGAAAGCAUGGGUCACAUUAAAGAAUUGGAGUGAGACAAAAAGUGGAGCAAAGUGGACCUCUCGAGAAAACACGGAUACACAAUCUGUUGAGCAUAAAGAGAGAGUCCGAGACAUGAGAGAACGGUGACGAAAACAUAUUGAGCAUAAAGAGAGAAUGAAAAUGAUGAGAGUUUUUCUGUAUUGCUGAGAGUCAUUCUGAAUGAGUGUAAGAUACAUCUGAUGGGGAGUCUUCAACCAACAAACAAACCGCUCAUAGGUUCUAGACAGAGUCUAGUGUGACAUGUGGUGUGUGCAUCAUACAAAGUGUCUGUAAGCUGAUAGAAUUUCUUGUGUUUUAGGGGUUUUACUCAUGGAGAGUAAAACGAGCUGGGUUGAGUGACACUUGAAAGAGAUUGAAGUGUAUCUGACUCGUAACAAAGAAAUAGAAUCAGUUUGGUUGUUCUUUAUUCAAGAUAU